AUCGAACGCUGGCGGCAGGCCUAACACAUGCAAGUCGAGCGGAUGAAGCGAGCUUGCUCCUGGAUUCAGCGGCGGACGGGUGAGUCAUGCCUAGGAAUCUGCCUGGUAGUGGGGGAUAACGUCCGGAAACGGGCGCUAAUACCGCAUACGUCCUGUGGGAGAAAGUGGGGGAUCUUCGGACCUCACGCUAUCAGAUGAGCCUAGGUCGGAUUAGCUAGUUGGUGGGGUAAAGGCCUACCAAGGCGACGAUCCGUAACUGGUCUGAGAGGAUGAUCAGUCACACUGGAACUGAGACAAGGGCCAGACGCCUACGGGAGGCAGCAGUGGGGAACAUUGGACAAUGGGCGAAAGCCUGAUCCAGCCAUGGAGCGUGUGUGAAGAAGGUCUUCGGAUUGUAAAGCACUUUAAGUGGGGAGGAAGGGCAGUAAGUUGAUACCUUGCUGUUGUGACGGUACCAACAGAAGAAGCACCGGCUAACUACGUG
rnacentral:rRNA from 1 species